GGACAUAGCUCAGUGGUAGAGUAGAAGUCUAGCAUGCACAAGGUCCUGGGUUCAACCCCCAGUGCUUCCA
rnacentral:tRNA from 1 species